CAGGUAUUAGCCUGUGGACUAGGGUGAAACCAGUGGACAGCAUUCUCUGCAAUCUCCCAGAACACAGCACACCUUGAAAUAACAUCAAAAUUAUGUCUGAGAAGAGAAAGGCAAGAAAGAAUCAGUAAGGCUCAAGGCUUGCUUUCCAAACCUGCCUCUGCAACUUAAGCCUGGACUGCAAACAUAAACUUCUUGGAAAGAACCUCAGUGCAAGAUGAAUAUCUGAGAAGAGCAAAGGGAGAUGCUGGGCUGCAAAAAACCAAGCCUUUUGCUCAAGUAAUCAUGCACAAAACAAAGGUGGACAUUGAGAUCUCUUUUGAGUAUGUUCAUAGCCUGAUAAAAUAAGUCAUUUUGCAAAUCCAGACCCCCUCACUUGAUCUUGUGCUGCUGCAAGGACCAUUUUGUCAGCAUAACCUGGAAGCAGAGAGAGGCAAUGGGCAAGAGAAGAUGAACAUACAGGGAUGCCAUAAGCCACCAUUAGCACAUGCAUGGCCUAAGCUGUUGGUAUAUACUGAUGACAUCCAUGUAGUACUCUGCAGAACGAGGUGAACUGUAAACAACAUUUCAGAAUAGCUGAGGCAUGUGAUUUUGCAGAGGAGGCAAGAAGAAAGCCCAGUAGAUGGGCCAUAUAUCUUGAGACAUGGUUGAAGGAAAUCAGCCUGAAGGAUCAUGACUGGUUCCAUCUGGCCUUGAAAUCAAGGCGAAUGCAGAAGUUUUUUUCUUAGGUCAUCCAGGGAGGCCACAGGUCGGAGUAAGGUCUUCAGUGGAAGAACAGCACCAGGGAAGGGCUUUCAUCUUUCAUGCUCAUUGCACACAUGAACAUUUCCUUUCUGUCAGCAAUUUGGACACCCGGUCAGACCAGUUAUUUUCAAAUUGUUUGUCAUUGUCUGGGCAGGUUUGGUCUCUUAGCAAAGCAUAAUUUUUCAGAUCUGUCACAAGCAGGAACAGACAUCUGAGCAAGUGGCUGGGCUGCUGAGAGAAAUUGUUUGGCUUCAG